GAUGAACGCUGGCGGCGUGCCUAAUACAUGCAAGUCGAGCGAACAGAUAAGGAGCUUGCUCCUUUGACGUUAGCGGCGGACGGGUGAGUAACACGUGGGUAACCUACCUAUAAGACUGGAAUAACUCCGGGAAACCGGGGCUAAUGCCGGAUAACAUUUAGAACCGCAUGGUUCUAAAGUGAAAGAUGGUUUUGCUAUCACUUAUAGAUGGACCCGCGCCGUAUCAGCUAGUUGGUAAGGUAACGGCUUACCAAGGCAACGAUACGUAGCCGACCUGAUAGGGUGAUCGGCCACACUGGAACUGAGACACGGUCCAGACUCCUACGGGAGGCAGCAGUAGGGAAUCUUCCGCAAUGGGCGAAAGCCUGACGGAGCAACGCCGCGUGAGUGAUGAAGGUCUUCGGAUCGUAAAACUCUGUUAUUAGGGAAGAACAAAUGUGUAAGUAACUGUGCACGUCUUGACGGUACCUAAUCAGAAAGCCACGGCUAACUACGUG
rnacentral:rRNA from 1 species